UCCAACUUCAUAACAAAACAAUAAUCGUAUAAUUUUGGUAGCCUUUCAUAUUCUUAAACUUUUGGCUCUUUAUGCUUUAUUUCUGAUUAACUUUGUGUUAAUUUUGAUUGUUUUUGCGUUAUUGGUACAAUGAGUCGCCUGAUCAGCUUUCGCCGUAGGUUGCACUUCUGGUCGCACGAAGCGAAUUGAGAACGAAAGCCCUGGUCCUGGACGUUGCGCGUGAUUUGUGUAUGAAAAGAGCAUAUUUUUUCCAGCUCUCGGAUUAGGGAAAUGAUGGUCAAAGCACAUACCAAAAGGCUGAGCGCCUACCGGCGUAAAUUGAAACGCAACACAACAAUUUUGAUAUAUUUCGACCGCCUCGACUAAACAAUAUGUGAGAGAAAACUUAUGGCGAAUUGAGGCUCCGUCACAUAUAGGGAAUAAUUUCCAAGAUGGCAGGACUUCGACACAUCUCAAUUACAGACAAGAAUCAAAAUGUGGCGGAGCAUCAUCACGGGCUGUGUGAAAACUUUUCUACUAUGCGGAUGGAAGUAAACCACAGAAGAAGGAAUGAUGAAAUCCACAGCAGCAAAGUCGAUAUGAAAAUCAUCAGCUUCGUCCUAUGCUAACAGCAUAUGGAAUGGAAUGUUCAAGAGGGAUCGGUGCAAUAAAUUGAAAGAAA